CCUACGGGGUGCAGCAGUGAGGAAUAUUGGUCAAUGGACGAGAGUCUGAACCAGCCAAGUAGCGUGAAGGAUGACUGCCCUAUGGGUUGUAAACUUCUUUUAUAUGGGAAUAAAAUGUUCCACGUGUGGGAUUUUGUAUGUACCAUAUGAAUAAGGAUCGGCUAACUCCGUGCCAGCAGCCGCGGUAAUACGGAGGAUCCGAGCGUUAUCCGGAUUUAUUGGGUUUAAAGGGAGCGUAGGUGGAUUGUUAAGUCAGUUGUGAAAGUUUGCGGCUCAACCGUAAAAUUGCAGUUGAAACUGGCAGUCUUGAGUGCAGUAGAGGUAGGCGGAAUUCGUGGUGUAGCGGUGAAAUGCUUAGAUAUCACGAAGAACUCCGAUUGCGAAGGCAGUUCACUGGACUGCAACUGACACUGAGGCUCGAAAGUGUGGGUAUCAAACAGGAUUAGAUACCCUUGUAGUC
rnacentral:rRNA from 1 species